rnacentral:lncRNA from 10 species
UUGCCUUCCCUCACCGGUGCGUUUUACCUCUCGAGGCACCGUAAGUUUGAAGUCCUCCAAGUUGUGGUCGGCGCCAUCAUGACGCCGGCGACUGUGUUCAAUAGCUCACUGUGAUUGUUGAGAAGUCAACACAGGGACAAGGAAAUCUCAGAUGGUUGUCUACAGUUACAAGGGGGAUUUUUGGACUGAUUUGUGAUUUUUCUGGGAAUGCAACUCAAGUUAGAAGAGGCCAUUAUCUGAAAGAAGAAGAAGCACCAGCUGAUGUGUUGGUUAUUUUAGGGCGACAUUUGCAGUUGCUUGGGCAAUAUCAUGAGCCUCACCUCAUGCAGGUCUGGGUCCCAGACCCAAAGACUGCUCCUCCAUACUCAGAGAUACCAGCACUAACAGAGCAGCUCCUCUUCUUCAGUACAGAUGCUUCUCAACUUACAAUGAGGUUAUACCCUUAUAAACACAUGGUAGCAAGAAUACAGCUGUGAGAAGAUGCAUUGUGCCAAGAUGAAUUUAGUGAGUUUGGAAGAGGACCCUGAGCCUGAAAUGAGAAUUGCAACCCUGGCUGACACCUCCAUUUCAGUCUGACAUGACCUUAACAGAGGACCCAGAUAACCUGUACUACACACCUGACCUAUGAAAACUGUGAGAUCAUAAAUAUGUGUUGUUUUAGGCCACUAUUUUUGUGAUAAUUUAUUACACAGUGGUAGAAAACUAAUGGAAGGAUAAACAUAAUUUAAAAGGCAGGGCA